rnacentral:lncRNA from 1 species
AUGCACCCUUACCUCAGCCCUGCAUCAGCCCCAGGGUGGGCGUUCCCCCGGUCUGUUGGAGUGGCCCUGGGGACCAGCACCAUCCAUAGUGCCUUUCCCAGCUCACCAGUGUCAAGUACUACAGAUCCACCCCACUGGAGAAAGAUAACACAGAGGUGUCUACACCACAAAAUGGAGUUUGAUGGAGAAAACAGUGCUGACCAAGAACUGACUUUAUGUAAAGCUACUCAGAUGGAAGAUUCUGAUUCAGAAGACACAGGCCAUUUCAGAGCUGGAGGAGUAUUGUGCCUUAUUGAUAAUUCCCUUGAGAAGACUUCAGUGUAA